rnacentral:lncRNA from 1 species
GAGGAGCUGCUGUUGAACGAUUCCUCGCGGAUUAGGGCUUCCGCCGAGGCUAAAACCGUCCAGGUUCUGGUCCCUAAGGUUGUGCCUCCUCCUGCUCCUGUUGUUCCUAGUGCUUCGAUCUCGGUUCCGGCUCCUAGUGCUUUGAUCUCGGUUCCGGUACCGGCUACUGCAUUGCCGCCACCACCUGUUGCUGUUGCUGCUGCUGCUGCUGCAGGAGGUGAUGGUGAUGGCGGAGAGGAUUCAGAGGCUUUGUCUGCCAAUGCGCACACCAAGCGUGUGGCGCUUCAGAAGAAGGCUGCUGCUACUAU